GGGCAGUAAGGUUUCAACAUGUGAAUGUUGAGGGGACACAGAUGUUCAACCGGUAAAGAAAGGAGCCAGCUCCCUUAACAGCCUUGCCCUCAGCUGUACGAGGAGAUACACAGAGAAACCAAACAUGCAGUUGCCUGCAUGGUCCUUACUGGUGUGUUUCAUGGUGUGUUUCCCCAAGGAUUCAGUUGCCUGGACCCAGAGCAGUGACUGACUCUGCUGAAUUAGAAAAGUGGAAAAACAUCUUUUUCCUGCCCAACAGCACCUUUCACCCUCUUUGCCAGCUUUAAGACUUCAAGACCACCUCCAAAAACUCCUGAAGGUGGUAUACAGAUUCCACUGUGUUUGGAAGAGGCAGGAUGGAGCACUAGAGAUAAAAAGAGAAAGGGAGAGACAGGAGAAAAGGAAGAAUGACCACUAUCCUGCAUAGCUGCCCAGCAUCUGCUAAGAAAAUAAAAAUGGCUAUAUCUGCAGCCAGAGGCUUGUACCAUCAACCACACACAGAUCAAUAUGUGUUUAUUGGCAUUGACUCUUCUUUUUGUCAGUUUCUUUUCAUUUUUUUCCUUUUGACUUUAAAAAUAGUCUCUUCUUUUAGGAGAGAAAGGGAUGUCCUUAAUUUAACUCUUACAAAUCUUAUCUAAUGCAUAGUUAUCCAGAGGCUUUACUUUAUUCAAAUGAGAGAUAUCAGUAAGUUUUAGGUUACUGAAAAGGAAAGAUGUGAUUUAUUAAAAUCAAAUGUUUUCAGAGUAUGAAAAGAUGUAACCUAGAAGAUAUGAUGGGGAGGAAUUCCACAGGCCUAUGGCAAUUUAAAUGUGUUCAAGCCAGUCUCAAAUGAAGGAUAUUUUAGAUUGUUCAUUACUAUCUAAAAGAAAAGGAAGAGGAAAAGGAGAAAAAAAGGAGAAGCAGCAAUUGCCAAGAGACAGUUGUUCAAUCCAAUAAAGUAAUGAUCUGUGCAAACUCUAAUUAUUGUAUUUGCAAAACAAUAUGUGUAUAAUUUGUGAACUUUCCCCCUCUCUUUCUAACACAAUAA
rnacentral:lncRNA from 10 species